UACGGAGGGGGCAAGCGUUAUUCGGAAUUACUGGGCGUAAAGGGUGUGCAGGCGGUGCGGUCAGUGGGAAGUGAAAUACCUGGGCUCAACCUAGGAAUAGCUUUCCAUACUGCCGGACUUGAGUAUGGGAGAGGAAAGUGGAAUACCCGGUGUAGCGGUGAAAUGCGUAGAGAUCGGGUGGAACACCAGUGGCGAAGGCGACUUUCUGGACCAUAACUGACGCUGAGACACGAAAGCGUGGGGAGCAAACAGG
rnacentral:rRNA from 1 species